rnacentral:rRNA from 1 species
CGCCUGUUUAUCAAAAACAUGUCUUUAUGUGAUAUUUAUAAAGUCUGGCCUGCCCACUGAAUAAUAUUAAAGGGCCGCGGUAUCUUGACCGUGCAAAGGUAGCAUAGUCAUUUGUCUUUUAAUUGGAGGCUUGUAUGAAUGGUCGCACAAGAAAUAACUUGUCUUAAAUGAAUAUAUUGAAUUUAACUUUUAAGUAAAAAGGCUUAAAUAAAUUAAAGUGACGAUAAGACCCUAUAAAACUUUAUAAUUUAAGUUAAAAAAAUGUAUUAGUUAUUUAAAAUUUUUUUAAUUGAGUUUAUUUUAUUGGGGCGAUAAAAAUAAAAAUAGUAACUGUUUUUAAAAUUUUAAUGAUAAUUGUCAGUGUUAUUUAAUGAUCCUUUAUUAAAGAUUAUAAGAUUAAGUUACUUUAGGGAUAACAGCGUAAUUUUCUUUGAGAGCUCUUAUCUACAAGAAAGAUUGUGACCUCGAUGUUGAAU